rnacentral:misc_RNA from 1 species
AACCUUAUGGACCUGCGGGCGUAUACCUGCGGAAGGAUCAUUACUGUGACUUACUACUACACUGCGUGAGCGGAACGAAAACAACAACACCUAAAAUGUGGAAUAUAGCAUAUAGUCGACAAGAGAAAUCUACGAAAAAACAAACAAAACUUUCAACAACGGAUCU